GACGAACGCUGGCGGCGUGCUUAACACAUGCAAGUCGAACGGAAAGGCCCUGCUUUUGUGGGGUGCUCGAGUGGCGAACGGGUGAGUAACACGUGAGUAACCUGCCCUUGACUUUGGGAUAACUUCAGGAAACUGGGGAUAAUACCGGAUAGGUGCUCCUGCCGCUUGGUGGGGGUUGGAAAGUUUCGGCGGGUGGGGAUGGACUCGCGGCUUAUCAGCUUGUUGGUGGGGUAGUGGCUUACCAAGGCUUUGACGGGUAGCCGGCCUGAGAGGGGGACCUGCCACAUUGGGACUGAGAUACGGCCCAGACUCCUACGGUAGGCAGCAGAGGGGAAUAUUGCACAAUGGGCUGAAGCCUGAUGCAGCAACGCCGCGUGCGGUAUGACGGCCUUCGGGUUGUAAACCGCUUUCGCCUGUGACGAAGCGUGAGUGACGGUAAUGGGUAAAGAAGCACCGGCUAACUACGUG
rnacentral:rRNA from 1 species